GUAGGUGAACCUGCGGAAGGAUCAUUAACACUUUUAUCAAAAACUUUACCCCUUUUUCAUAUUUUGAAACCCUUCUUUCUCUCUUUGAUUCUCUCUCUUUUGAGUGGGAAGAGAAGAGAGGGAGAUAUGUUUGAUUUGUGAGAUUGAACAAAAUGUGUGGCCUUUCUUACUUUUUUAAUUAUUAUUUGAGAACGAGGGAACUUUCGUUCCUUCGGUUUUUUCAUAUCUCUUAAACUAGUUCAACCCAAAA
rnacentral:misc_RNA from 1 species